rnacentral:sRNA from 1 species
AGAAUAGUUAAAUGAUCCAUUACCACCGAGUGAUGGGGCUGAUUGGAAAUUACCACCGAUAUUGUAUCCUAAUGUCUGACUCACGUUUGUAGAUUCAAUUUUAUUUUUAGGUAAAUAAUUAAUUAAAGAAACAUAUUUAUCAUUUGUUUUUAAACCAAUAUUAUAUUGGAAUGGCCAUCGCAUAGCUUUAACAUGAUUAGUUUUUUUAUAGUUGUAAUAUGUUGUUCUAGAGCUAAUGAAUCCUUGCAUCUUUAAUAUCAAAGCAUCUUUGUUAUAUUUUUUAUCCUUCACAAA